CCGGCAUUGUUUAUACGUCAUGGUUGGCAUUUGGCCCCUCCUUCCAGGAGACUCCUAAGGAAGUUCAGUUCCUCCGGGACUAUGAUUUCAGCAGCCCGAUGGCUAAAGGGAAGGACACAAGUGUUUCUCCUUAGAGUAGAUUCCCUCCUGCUAGGUGGUUACACCUGCAGAACAAGGAAACUGCAUCUCAAAGUGACCCCUCUAUCCUAAGGGGGCACCAGAUGCUGCUCCAGAUGUGCUGCCUGUAGGCUGCCUGCCUCCUCUCUUCAGGCUUGCUGCCAAAGGCACCUGGCUGGGCUACCUUGUCCAGCUCCCAAGACUUCCAUCACGACUCCCCUCCUAUCUUGGGAAGUCGAAGUCCUGCUCACCUUGAAGACUCCUUGAAGACUUCGGUUUCCCUGGAAGCAUCUACUAGCAUGGAAUGCGUAAACAGGUCAUGAAGUACCCUGCUGAAGGAAGUUGGGGAGGGACUAAGCAGAUGACUGUGCCUGCGCCUGGACAACCUCCAGCUUUUCGAGUGAAGUGCCAAGGUCCUUCUGUUGCAUCAUGACCACACUUGUUUUAAUUUACUUUUUUGACACAGGGUUUCAUGGACCCAAGGCUGCCCUUGGCUGCUUUUCAUAGCCAAGGCUGACCUUAAACGUCCAGUCCUCUGCCCCCAUUUCUGUGGUAGGUGAGCACUGGCUGAGCAGCAGUCCUGCCCUAUUGCUUCUAAUCUUAGCAACCACCAAUUUACAUAGAUUGAGUCUCAGAUCCCACUUUUCCUGUGAAUGCAGAAAGGUUUGGCUGUGGAUCCUUGGCUGGCAGUGAGGGUAGAAAGGGAUCAAGUUACAAGCCUUUGGAAGACUCCACUUCUGUUUAUAGCAGGGUGGCGGCUUCCCUUUAUUAGAGGAGGAAAAUUACAGUCCACUUAAGGGAAGUCACACUGCAGUCCUGCUGUAUCUCCAAGACCCCCUUUCUCUUGCACUUUUCCUGUUUAUCUCUCCUGCUCAUUCCACGUUAAGAGUUUUCUCACCAUCAAGAGUUUAUAUCUGCACCUUCAUAGAGUAUUCGUUUGGGUAGAUUUAGGACAGAUAGAGAUCUAAAAGUAGCACUUCUUUUUUUUCCCUAGACAAAAACCCAAGGGAAAUUUAAUGACUAGCAUGUGAGGCAUUGCCAUUGCUAUGUGGCUAGCUUCCUUUUCUUUCUAUGGACCUCUGAAAACCUAGGUCUUUUUGUUUUUGAGACAUGGUCUUCCAAAAUAGUCCAGACUAGUCUUGAACUUUCAAUCCUCCUGUCUUACCUUCCCAUUCCAAGUGCUGGGAUGUACCCAAUAAGCUGUU